UCCCUUGUGGCUCAGCUGGUAAAGAAUCUGCCUGCAGUGCAGGAGACCUAGGUUCGAUCCCUGGGUUGGGAA
rnacentral:tRNA from 1 species